GCAUAGCAAGGAUACUUUAAUAAAAAUGGCAAGUACUAGUAAACACAUGGGAAAAGAGCGGUUAUUUUGAAAGCAGAUAAGGAGUACUGAAAGAAACUUUCUUUUUCUAAUUUCUCUUUUUCUAGAGAUUACCAAACAAACUGAAAUGUUCUUAGAGAACACAAGAAACGAAGCAAAUAAAAACAUUCUCAGAGAGCUUAAAAUGUGAGGUUAACUGAUAACACAGCAGUAACCACACGCUGGUCCCUAACAUAGACAUUUCAGACAUGAGAUUUAUUUUAAAGAUGCAUUGAAAACAAACACUUUUUACAAAUUAUAUGGAACACUUAAAACAUAAUCUAGGAAUAUUGGACAUUAAUUCUUAAUUCAAAGUAAUGACAUUCACAGAAUACGUCUUGGUGCCAGCCAAUAUGGAGUUGACUUGUGUCUCCAGCUGGCUCCCAGGCGCCACUGAAAACUGUCACCACCCUCAGAAAGACAGGAUGGUCUUAUUAAUGAUCUCCACCGCCUCUAGAAUCUCAUCCUCCUUGAUCACAAGCGGGGGCGCAAACCUGAUGAUGUCGCCGUGGGUUGGCUUGGCCAGAAGUCCAUUAUCUCGUAGUCGCAGACACACCUUCCAAGCAUCACAAUCUAGUAAAGAAAAACCAUCAAGGGUAUGCUGAUCAAU
rnacentral:lncRNA from 1 species